rnacentral:tRNA from 1 species
GAGGCCUUAGCUUAAUUAAAGUGUUUGGUUUGCAGCCAUAAGAUGUAAGUUAGUGUUUACAGGUCUUC